GCUUAGAAGCAGCCAUCAUUUAAAGAAAGCGUAAUAGCUCACUGGUCGAGUCGGCCUGCGCGGAAGAUGUAACGGGGCUAAACCAUGCACCGAAGCUGCGGCAGCGACACUAUGUGUUGUUGGGUAGGGGAGCGUUCUGUAAGCCGUUGAAGGUGGCCUGUGAGGGUUGCUGGAGGUAUCAGAAGUGCGAAUGCUGACAUAAGUAACGAUAAAGCGGGUGAAAA
rnacentral:rRNA from 1 species